rnacentral:rRNA from 1 species
UGGGGAAUAUUGGACAAUGGGGGCAACCCUGAUCCAGCAAUGCCGCGUGUGUGAAGAAGGCCUGAGGGUUGUAAAGCACUUUCAGUGGGGAGGAGGGAUGAUUGGUUAAGAGCUGAUUGUUUGGACGUUACCCACAGAAGAAGCACCGGCUAACUCCGUGCCAGCAGCCGCGGUAAUACGGAGGGUGCGAGCGUUAAUCGGAAUUACUGGGCGUAAAGGGUGCGUAGGUGGUUAGAUAAGUUAUCUGUGAAAUCCCUGGGCUUAACCUGGGCAGGUCAGAUAAGACUGUUUGACUCGAGUAUGGGAGAGGGUAGUGGAAUUUCCGGUGUAGCGGUGAAAUGCGUAGAGAUCGGAAGGAACACCAGUGGCGAAGGCGGCUACCUGGCCUAAUACUGACACUGAGGCACGAAAGCGUGGGGAGCAAACAGG